rnacentral:rRNA from 1 species
UAGCGUAUAUUUAAGUUGUUGCAGUUAAGAAGCUCGUAGUUGGAUUUUGGGUGCGGCAGGCCGGUCCGCCGUUUCGGUGUGCACUGGCAGGCGGCAUCUUUCUGUCGAGGACGCGCUCCUGGGCUUUAUUGACCGGGACGUGGAGUCGGCGCAGUUACUUUGAAAAAAUUAGAGUGUUCAAAGCGGGCCUACGCUUGAAUAUAUUAGCAUGGAAUAACACUAUAGGACUCCUGUCCUAUUCUGUUGGUCUUCGGGAUGGGAGUAAUGAUUAAGAGGAACAGUUGGGGGCAUUCGCAUUUCAUUGUCAGAGGUGAAAUUCUUGGAUUUAUGAAAGGCGAACUUCUGCGAAAGCAUUUGCCAAGGAUGUUUUCAUUAAUCAAGAACGAAAGUUGGGGGCUCGAAGAUGAUUAGAUACCAUCCUAGUCUCAACCAUAAACGAUGCCGACUAGGGAUUGGCGGAUGUUAAUUUGAUGACUUCGCCAGCACCUUAUGAGAAAUCAAAGUCUUUGGGUUCCGGGGGGAGUAUGG